AUUGAACGCUGGCGGCAGGCCUAACACAUGCAAGUCGAACGGUAACAGGCAGAAGUUUGCUUCUUUGCUGAUGAGUGGCGGACGGGUGAGAAAUGUCUGGGAUACUGUCUGAUGGAGGGGGAUAACUACUGGAAACGGUAGCUAAUACCGCAUAACGUCGCAAGACCAAAGAGGGGGACCUUCGUGCCUCUUGCCAUCGGAUGUGCCCAGGUGGGAUUGGCUAGUAGGUGGGGUUACGGCUCACCUAGGCGACGAUCCCUAGCUGGUCUGAGAGGAUGAACGGCCACACUGGAACUGAGACACGGUCCAGACUCCUACGGGAGGCAGCAGUGGGGAAUAUUGCACAAUGGGCGCAAGCCUGAUGCAGCCGUGCCGCGUGUAUGAAGAAGGCCUUCGGGUUGUAAAGUACUUUCAGCGGUGAGGAAGGGAGUAAAGUUAAUACCUUUGCUCAUUGACGUUACCCGCAGAAGAAGCACCGGCUAACUCCGUG
rnacentral:rRNA from 1 species